GCACGUAGUUAGCCGGUGCUUCUUCUUACAGUACCGUCAUCCACGCCGGGAUAUUCACCGACGCGAUUUCGUUCCGUCCGAAAGAGCUUUACAACCCGAAGGCCUUCUUCACUCACGCGGCAUGGCUGGAUCAGGGUUGCCCCCAUUGUCCAAAAUUCCCCA
rnacentral:rRNA from 1 species